CCAACGUGGUCCCUUCACCCGGGCUCGGCUCUUGCCUUCUCCACACUUGUUUGAUUUAUGAGGAAUCCAAGAUGAACUUGGAGCAGGAGAGGCCGUUUGUCUGCAGUGCCCCAGGCUGCUCCCAGCGUUUCCCAACAGAGGACCAUCUGAUGAUUCAUAGGCACAAGCACGAGAUGACUUUGAAGUUCCCUUCAAUAAAGACAGACAAUAUGCUGUCAGAUCAGACUCCGACGCCCACAAGAUUCCUGAAGAACUGUGAAGAGGUGGGUCUCUUCAGCGAGCUGGACUGCUCCUUUGAGCACGAGUUCAGGAAGGCUCAAGAGGAAGAGAACAGCAAGCGGAUUUCCCUUUUCUACAGAUUUCUACAAGGAUACCACUCAUUCUAGAUCAGAAACCUACGUUCUUCCAGGAUGAUGACAAACCUAAGAACAUCUAUAAUGGCCCGAUUAUGUUGCUGUUGUUGUUGUUGCUGCUGCUGCUGCUGCUGUUAUUUAAAUGUUUUAUACAGUAUAUUUGAUCAUGUUUCCCCUUCCCCAACUCCUCCCAGAUCUUCCCCACCAUCCUACCCAUCCACCCAAUUUCAUGUCCUUUCUCUUAUCACCCUGUCUCUAUCUCUCUUUCCAAAAACAAAAAAGCAAAAAAUCCAAAUAAUCAAAAACCCAAUAAUAAUUUUUAAAAUGGGCAAAACAAAAUAACUCCACUUCCCAAAGAGCACAACAUGUGAAAGAAGAGGAGGCAGAUCACAAGAGACAGAAAUGGUGGCUGCAUCCACGGAACCUGUGUCUUCUAGACACAGCAUGACUGAUGCAGGUAUGAACUCACAAAGACUGUGACACCACACAUAAGACCUGCACAAUUCUAAACCGGACAAAAUACCAGUUCUGAGAGGCAGAGGUGGACACAAAACACACCCUUAACCAAGAAGGCACCUGCAGCUGAUAUAUGUUAAAAAGGGAAAAUUAGUUUUCUCUAGUGGAGUGAUUCUGGGCAUAUCUCCCACGCUCUAGCAUAGGCUCUUUACUUCAGAGUAGUUGCCCAAGGGUGUUGCUUCUCAGUUAUAUUCUGGGGGAUACAGGUUCGUCCAUCUGGGUGAAAGGUUCUCCCUCCAACAGUCCCUGGGGCUCUGGAAUAGCAAUUCCCAAGAGAAAACAGGGGCUGUGAUGCAGUUGUCCUUCCCGUUGUUGUCUGUCUGUCUAGGAUGCUAGAAAACUGCUCACUGGCUCUUAGUUCCUUCUCAAAUUAAAGUGCUGUCUUUCAGAAGUUUCUGAGCAUGUACGAAGACAAGGACAUCUUUAUAAAGCAGAUGGGGAGACCCAGACUUCUAGGCGGGGUAGAUGGAUGCUCUGGUCUGUCAUCUUGACUCAGUUCCCUGUCCUCUCCCAGAGCCAUUUCUGGCUUGGCCAACGAAGGGAGAAGGAUGCCAAGGCCCCUUCUCUUAAGCUGAAACACAUUGCAUGUGGGGUGACAACUAAGGUAGGCUCUGCAUGGUCUGGAGCCUCUUACAGAAGGCCCCAUCUAUUGCCACUAGAUGACAAUUCCUGCUGUCCUCCUGGUGCAAAGGGACCCCUUGAGUGGCAUCCUUUCUCCACCUUCCCACCUGUCUCUCCAGUGCUGAGAAGUAGGACAAAGCUUCAGAGGCACCAUGAAGCAACAGUGAAUGGCCUCAGAGACCUCUCUCUCUCUCUCUCUCUCUCUCUCUCUCAUUGUGUGUGUGUGUGUGUGUGUGUGUGUGUAUGUAACAAUACUAACAAUAAUAAUUAAAGAAGGUGAAUCUGAGAAGGACUGUGGGAGACAUGGGAGGAGUUGGAGGCAAAAGGGGAUGGUCGGAAGUGGUGUAAAUAUAAUACAGACAUAUGAAAUUAUUAGAAAUGUAAGUCUGAAGAAAAGAGCUGACAGCUCCACCCCACAAGGCAGCAUGAUGCUGGCUUCACCACUCUGGGGGCUAAUGAGUUGCUCAGUGUAUUCUAAUCUUCCAACCCAGAGCCAAACAUCACUCUUAACCCACAAACUCCAGUGAUAAUCUUGGAGUUCUUACACAGGUUACCUAUCACCAUGCAUGGAACAUUUACCAGGGGCUGUACAUACACAGGUCCCUUAUGGCACACGUCACCUAUCAACAUUAGGUGGACUGUCUUAUUUGGUUUCCCUCAAUCUCUGUUCAACCAUAAACAUAAGUGUUGUGUGUCUUUUAUAGAUGAGCAGACUGCAGUCCAGGUGGUUCGGUACCUUGCCCAAAGUCUUUCUUCCAGUAUGGAGAGAAGAUUGGGAUGUAAAAGAUUCUGGCUUGCUGUGUUUUCUUCAAAGUAGCAUCAGUGCUUAAGUCUGCCUGGUACUAAGCCAUGUCUGCCUCCAACAGUACUAGUCACUGAGCGUUAAUCAUGGAAUGAGUGCUAUGAGUAUGUGGGAACUUAAAGAGCCCAGGGAGAUUCCACCCUCACGGUUUGCUGGGUGCAAGGACUGGUUCCAUUUCUCAGGUAAGAGACCUGAGGUUUAGAGAGAGUAAAUUGUCGUUCUGGAAUGUUCACUGUAUUCUAGUCUUUCAACCCAGAACCAAACAUCACUCAAUUCACAAUUGAUUAAAAAAUAGAAAUAAAACCCCUAUUGUAUAUCCUUGAGCUAUAUCACAUGAUUUUACUCCAAGAGAAUAAAAUGGUGUGGUGAAGCAAGUUUUUUAUAAAUUAUCAUCUAUUCUAUAAUAACUGUUUGAAACAACCUUGGGCCACACUGACAGAACACAAAAUAAUUUUCUGUAGUGUGCAUUUGGAGAUUUUUUUCCUCCCAAUAUAGUGUGUUAUUUGCACUU
rnacentral:lncRNA from 1 species